rnacentral:rRNA from 1 species
UACGUAGGGGGCAAGCGUUGUCCGGAUUUAUUGGGCGUAAAGAGCGUGUAGGCGGCCAGAUAGGUCCGUUGUGAAAACUCGAGGCUCAACCUCGAGACGCCGAUGGAAACCAUCUGGCUAGAGUCCGGAAGAGGAGAGUGGAAUUCCCGGGUGUAGCGGUGAAAUGCGCAGAUAUCGGGAAGAACACCCGUGGCUAAGGCGGCUCUCUAGUACGGUACUGACGCUGAGACGCGAAAGCGUGGGGAGCCGAACAGG